CCGCAGAUGUUGAUGAAUUUCCAUCCUACCCCCUGGAAUUCCGCGAUUUUUUACAAAUUUCCAGCCUACCCCAUGGAAUUUCCACAGAUUUUUAAUGAAUUUCUACUCAUCCCUUGGAAAUUCCACCGAUGGUUUUGACCUAGUCUCUGGAAUUUCCACAUUUUUUGUUUAAUAGGUAACCAUCCCUUGGAAUUUCCAUGAUGUUUUUUUAACCUACCCCGUGGAAUUUCCACAGAUUUUCUUCAAAAUUUAGACCCUCCCUUGGAAAUUCCUUCUUUUUUUGUUGAAUUUUAGGAAGGGGGCCUGGAAAUUCCAGUAU